rnacentral:rRNA from 1 species
UACGUAGGGGGCUAGCGUUGUCCGGAUUUAUUGGGCGUAAAGAGCUCGUAGGCGGUUUGGUAAGUCGGGUGUGAAAUCUCCAGGCUCAACCUGGAGGGGUCAUUCGAUACUGCCAUGACUAGAGUUCGGUAGGGGUGUGUGGAAUUCCUGGUGGAGCGGUGAAAUGCGCAGAGAUCAGGAGGAACACCCGUAGCGAAGGCGGCACACUGGGCCGAUACUGACGCUGAGGAGCGAAAGCGUGGGGAGCGAACAGG